rnacentral:rRNA from 1 species
CAAUCACUUGUCUUUUAAAUAGGGACCUGUAUGAAUGGCAUAACGAGGGCUUAGCUGUCUCCUUUUUCAAGUCAAUGAAAUUGAUCUCCCCGUGCAGAAGCGGGGAUAAGACCAUAAGACGAGAAGACCCUGUGGAGCUUUAGACACCAAGGUAGACCAUGUUAAGCACCCCACAACAAAGGACUAAACUAGAUGAACCCUGCCCCCAUGUCUUCGGUUGGGGCGACCAUGGGGUAAAAUAAACCCCCCACGCGGAAAGGGAGCACUUUCCUCCUACAACUUAGAGCCCCCGCUCUAAUAAACAGAACUUCUGACCUAAAGAUCCGGCGAAGCCGAUCAACGGACCAAGUUACCCCAGGGAUAACAGCGCAAUCCUCUUUUAGAGCCCA